rnacentral:lncRNA from 14 species
AACACAACAUGUUUUCUUUAUUUUAGUUCAGCUAUAAACUGACCUGACUUUUUCAAAGGUAGAACAAAUGUUCACUGAGUACAAAGUAUGAAUUCAAGCCCAAAAUUGUAGAAUCAGAUUUUCACACCAAACUUUAUCUGCCUUCCUUCCUUUUUUCUCAGAAUUAAAAAAAUAUAUAAAUAAAUACAAGUCUGACCACCAUGAACAUGGUAUUUAACUCCCUCUUGUACAUGUGGGAGAGAGGGCACACAGACCUGUGGAACUGGUUCCAAUCUCACUGAUGAUGUUGAGGUUGCUGUGCAGAAUGUGUUGCAAAACUGAAGUCUAACAGGGAAAUGUUCUGCAUCUUCCAAGGCUGUGCAUAGGUCAAUCCAUACUGACCAUGAGAAAAAGAAAAGCAUUGCUAUUAGGAAGCUUCAAUUGUGUUUUCAUCAUUCAUUGCUGCGGAGACUGAAUCAGAUGGAGCAGGUGAUCAAGUCAGGAAUCCAGUGCUGCCAUUGCUGAUUUCAGGUUUUACUGAUACACACGUCAUUAGGAAGUGGAAGGUGUGUACUGCAACAUGACUUG